UACGGAGGAUGCGAGCGUUAUCCGGAUUUAUUGGGUUUAAAGGGUGCGUAGGCGGACUGUCAAGUCAGCGGUAAAAUUGAGAGGUUCAACCUCUUCCCGCCGUUGAAACUGGUGGUCUUGAGUGGAUGAGAAGUACGCGGAAUGCGUGGUGUAGCGGUGAAAUGCAUAGAUAUCACGCAGAACCCCGAUUGCGAAGGCAGCAUGCCGGCUUCCUACUGACGCUGAAGCACGAAAGCGUGGGGAUCGAACAGG
rnacentral:rRNA from 1 species